AUAAUACUCCCUCCAUCUAACCAAAGAUGUCUCAAGUUUGUUAAAAUUUGGAUGUAUCUAGACAUGACUUACUCUAUAGAUGCAUUUAAAUUUGAUCAAAAUUUAAAUGACAUCAUUUGUUGAACGGAGAGAGUAUGUA
rnacentral:pre_miRNA from 1 species